rnacentral:rRNA from 1 species
UAGGGAAUAUUGGGCAAUGGAUGCAAGUCUGACCCAGCCAUGCCGCGUGCCGGAUGAAGGCCCUCAGGGUUGUAAACGGCUUUUAUUCGGGAAGAAGAGCAGGGAUGCGUCCCUGUGUGACGGUACUGAAUGAAUAAGCACCGGCUAACUCCGUGCCAGCAGCCGCGGUAAUACGGAGGGUGCGAGCGUUGUCCGGAUUUAUUGGGUUUAAAGGGUGCGUAGGUGGCUUUUUAAGUCAGUGGUGAAAUACAGCCGCUCAACGGUUGAGGUGCCAUUGAUACUGAAGAGCUUGAAACAAGUGGAGGCUGCCGGAAUGGAUGGUGUAGCGGUGAAAUGCAUAGAUAUCAUCCAGAACACCGAUUGCGAAGGCAGGUGGCUACGUUUGAUUUGACACUGAGGCACGAAAGCAUGGGGAGCAAACAG